rnacentral:rRNA from 1 species
GAAUAUUGCACAAUGGGCGCAAGCCUGAUGCAGCCAUGCCGCGUGUAUGAAGAAGUCCUUCGGGUAGUAAAGUCCUUUCAGCGGGGAGGAAGUUGGUGUGGUUAAUAACCACAGCAAUUGACGUUACUCGCAGAAGAAGCACCGGCUACCUCCGUGCCAGCAGCCGCGGUAAUACGGAGGGUGCAAGCGUUAAUCGGAAUUACUGGGCGUAAAGCGCACGCAGGCGGUCUGUCAAGU